UUUGCGAUGAUGAUUUGGCGCAGGGGUACGGACCUCGGCUAGAUAAUGGGAGCCGAAUGCAAAGCUAUAGCUUUCAGGAUGGCUGACGUGUGGUUGGCUGCCUGAAACUGGCCUGCAUGAUAGUCGCCUGUCUGAGCUAA